rnacentral:lncRNA from 1 species
UAGGAGAAAGCAGUUCCAUAAUAAUGAACAUUCCAUUGUACUGAUUGUUGAAUUAUGAAAUUAAUAUAGAAGCAAGACAUUUUCAUUGUAAUUUUGCAUUCUGUUGCCAUAUAGAUUCCAAAAUCAUCCCCUUCUUAUAUAAGAGGCAUAGAAGACACACACAGAGAAAUGCACUCCUAGUCUUUUUGUGACAGAACUGGCAUGAUGAACCAAAAAAAAAUGCGCUGUUGCAGAUGUUGGUGUCAUUUGAAGACCUGGCUGUGGACAUCACUCAGGAGGAGUGACAGUACCUGGACAGUUCUCAGAGGACCCUGUCAAAGAUAUGAUGAUGGAGACCUACAAUAGCCUGUUGUUUUUGGGGUACUGCAAAAGCAAACCUGAGGUGAUCUUCAAGUUGGAACAGGGGACAGAGCCAUGGACAGUGACAAAACCCCUAAAUUGGAGCCUGUCAGCCCACAGAAGGGAUGACCUAUUGGGAACCAACUGGAAAAGUCAACAAAUAAAUUUGAGGCAAGUUGUAAUCACAAACAACAACUUAACACACAAGAGAGUUAAAAAGCAACACUUAGCUGGUGCCGUGGCUCAACAGGCUAAUCCUCCGCCUAGCAGCACCGGCACACCAGGUUCUAGUCCCAGUCAGGGUGCCGGAUUCUGUCCCAGUUGCCCCUCUUCCAGGCCAGCUCUGCCAUGUCUGGGGAGUGCAGUGGAGGAUGGCCCAAGUGCUUGGGCCCUGCACCCCAUGGGAGACCAGGAGAAGCACCUGGCUCCUGCCUUCAGACCAGCGUGGUGCACCAGCUGCAGCGGCCAUUGGAGGGUGAACCAAUGGCAAAGGAAGACCUUUCUCUCUCUCUCUCUGACUGUCCACUCUGCCUGUUAAAAAAAAAAGCAACACUUAAUUUAAGCUCAGGCCAUAUUUUUACUGAAAGCUGAGACAUAUAAUUUAUUUCACAAUUUGCUUCUCCCUAGGAGGCCUGAUGAGAUGUGAGCUGCAGAGAAAUCUGAUGGCACUAAUGUACCUGGCAACUCAAGUGAACGUUGGGAGCCCAUCAGGCAGCCUCACAAGAUUCAGCCUUUUCAGCAGGUGUUUGAACACAGUGUAAAAGGCAAAGGGUUCAACAGGAAAAGGGUGUUCU